GCGCCCGGUCUGAUUCAAGACCUACAUUCGUGGAUUCUGGGAAGAGGUUGGGCGGGGGGCUCUCAGGGGCGCACCCGGCCAGUGAUCAGAUUUAGGGGCUCUUCGAGCUAGGGAACGUGCCCGCUGGGAGGCUCUGGCCUGCAGGGGGCGGCCUCGGGCCAGGAAAGGACUCCCUGAGGCCACACCGGGUCCUGCGGUCUCUGCCUCCAUCCACGUGGCCGCCCCUGGGGGCGGACGCGGGGGGGGGGGGGGGGGGGGCGGUCCAUGGGGAGGGAUGGGGCUGACCCGCCCAGCCCCAGGUCCCCGCCGCUCCAGCUGUUCCGGUGUUCAGCGUCUGUCUGUUGGAGCCUGCGGACCCCUCGAUGGGGAGGGGAGAGGACGCUGGACCUGAGGGCUGUGGAGCUCUGGGGAAACUGUCCCCGGGCGGUGUGCACUGCCGAGGGAGGCUGCUGGGGAGGCCUGGCAGGACGCGGGUUAAAUGCGUGGAGGAAGGGUUCCAGGCCGGGGGCACAGCCCUGAGCUCCUUCCCGCAUCGGCCUUUCUCCGGUUUAUUGCCCCGCUGCGCUCAGCUCUUCUAGCCGGGUCCGCCUAGUUCUGCGCCCCUGGUUCUCCAGAGGUCGGAUGGAGAGCUUGCACGGAGGCCGUGCUGGGGUCCGCGGGGCGGCACCUGUCUGUGGACGGCUCUCCGCUGGGGGUCUCCACCUGGCGGGUUCAUGGAGCUCAGAGCCGGGCACAAAGAACGUUCUUCAUCCUCGAGAGCUUUUCCGAACUGCAGUCUCCCCCCGUCGGACCCAAAACCUCCCUUCUCCUUGAGAGCAGAAGUGAUGAGAGUGAUCUCUGGGUCAGAUCUGCUGGCUGAGUAUGGGUGCAAUGGCAGGAGCUGGAGCAACUGCUUUGGACCGGGGACUCACCCCGCAUGCUUCAUCAGGAGUCAGACUGGCCAAACAAGGAAGUGGAAAGACCAAUGUCAAAAUGACAUUGACUACAAAUGAAUCAUGCUGACCUUAGAAGGUGUUUCCAGAUCUUGCGAAGUGGGGUCAAUAUACACCCUUCCUCAAAGGCUGAAUGUGGAGUAAAUGAGGGGGAGUGUUUCCAACAGUGGACAGAUCAGUGGUUUCACUGAAUUGGAAGCUGGGACUGCCACAAGGUCUUGCUAGUCUCCUUAUCCCUGAGACCAAGCCAUCCUAGUGGGCUUCCAGAAAAACAUCUAUUUCUGGUUUAUUGACUAUGCCAAAGCUU